rnacentral:lncRNA from 1 species
UAUAAGUGGACACCCGGUAUUAUUAGCGCCAUUUAUUGACAACUAGAUUAAAUGUUAUAAAUGUCAUCUACGAAAUGUAAUCAGCGACGUGCGUUUUUUUCUGUCACAUACAAUUUAAUGCGUUAGAGAGAAAUCGAAAAACUGUGACGCACUGAAAAAUGCUCAUGAAAAAAACCAUACCAGCAAUUGGGAUAAACCGUAAUCGUACCCCUUCCUAACUGCCAAAGUGUCAUGGCCGCCGUCGGGACCUAUUGUGCUGACAUUUACAAUGUUUACAUAUAGAAAAGUUUGUUUUUUUCUGCUUAUAAUGCCGUUUUCUAAAGAUAUUAGUGAACAAAAUCGAUUUGCUAACAAUAUUUAAUAUAUUUUAAAUGUGCUAAAAUUGGAUUCAACAGCAAAAGUCGCAUAAAUAACAUAUAAAUGACGAAUUUGUUUACCUAUUACAAAUGGGGUUAUGUGGUUGUAACUGUUUAUUUUGGGAAUAAAAUGAAAAUGAUCAAUUAAACGACUGGAAAACUAUAGUGAAGUGAAGAACAUCUUGAAGUUCCAAUGAUGUUUCAAGAUGAGAUAAAUCGAAAUAAUGGUUGUAUGUUAGAAGGACAGAGAAUACGAAGAAAUGUUAUUGCUGCAUACUUAGUGUAGUGAAAUACAAACUUCAAACAUUAUAAUAUAUUUUUUUAUUUCAAACAUUUCAUAUGAUUAUGAAAGAACAUCUUCCUCUUUAAAACAAUGAAGAAGUGAAGAACAUAAUAAAGUUCCAACGAAAAUGAUUCCAGAUGAGGAAAAUCGAAAUAAUGGUUGUAUGUUACGUGUAUAGAGAAUACGAAGAAAUGUUAUUGCUGCAAACUUAGUGUAGUGAAUUAAAAACUUAUUGUCAAAUACAAAUCAAUUUAUUUCAUACUUUUAUAAUAUAUAGUGGUACAAUUUUAUAUGUGUUCAAAUAAAAAUAUUAAUAAAUAAAAUACAAUAAACACAAAUCAUGUAUAUCUUACAAUGAAUUACAAAAUCAAAAAUUAAUUACAAAAAUAUCAAAAUAAAUCUAAAAUAUUAAAAAGUAACCCAUAAUUUUUAUAGUACCUACAUACUUUGGUUGGUACUCUAAUAAUUUGGAAAUCCAUUAAAGUUUGUAGAUGGAAAUUGCAGGUAUCUAAAAAAUAUAUAAAGUAACUCAACAAUCUCUUUUCAAUUAGGGUUGCAGUUGAUAAAGAUGAAUGACCCUUGCUCGGGAAAUCAAAUGUAUCUAAAAAAAAAUUAAGUAACAGCUUUCUAACAAAACAAUCUUAGCACUAAACGGAAACAAAGAUACUGGUAAGUAUUAAAACAUUUUUUGAAAAAUCUUUCUGAAAGUGAAAAUAAAGACUACUCUCUAUGGGAACAACUAAAACUGGGUAUGCUUUACAAAAAAAUGUAUCCAGAACAAACUUCUUCUCUAUAAGGCAAUACUACUACAAGUCUGGAUGUACAGGAUUUAAUUCUGGGGAACUGCCAGUAACACAUAAUAUGCAAAGACUACAAAGAUUCCAAUCCAAAGUCUUUCAUGAUGUCCGAUUUUUUUAUUACCACUACCAAAUAUCACGCUAAACUUAAAAUUCUUACAAUGAAGAUAGCUAAAGCUUGAGUACACAUAGAUAGAUCCAACCAAAUAAAUAAAAACAAUUAAUGUAUGUAAAAUGUAUGUUAGUCUUCUUCCACUUGCAGAAGAUAUUUUCAGUUGUUUGUGCCACUGUGAACUUAAGAUCUCUAAUAUUAACCGAUGAUAAAUUUAUGAAAACUGAUUUUAAAUAUUAAAAACUUUCAGAGAUAUUUCAAUUUUCGAAACAUCUUAUAAAAGAGUGAAAAAUAUUCAGAGACACCUUACAGCCAUAAACCAGUAAAACUAAAAUAUUUAAUGUUUUUGUAUAAAUUAAUAUUAAUAUUUAUGAACUUUUUAAAUAUAUCUUUAAAAAUUUUAUGAUAAAUAAAAUGUUUUUGAGUAAAGGCAAUAUUUUUUUUGUAUGGUAAUAGAAAAGAUUAAUAUUUGAAAUCAUAUACAGCAUCACAUUUUAUAAAUUAUAAUCUUUUUAUUAUAAAAAUAGUAAUACCGUGUGUCUACAGAUGGGGUGCCCAAGAGGAAAAACUUUUUUAUUUUCAAUUUUAGCGAAAAAUGUCAUUCUUGAUAAAAACUUUUGCUUGUUCUAAAACCCCAUAAAAUGAACUAAAAUUCAAGUUUUUCAAAUCCUGCUUAUUUUUAUAGCCAAUUUUAUGUAAAUCCCUAUAAAUUUUUGCACUAAGUUCGAAAUUGUAACAAUAAUAACUUGGGAGAACAACCCUUUCACUUCUCUGGAUUACGAAGCCAGACUUUGUCGUUCUCCUUGAAUCAUCCAAUUAUUUAUUAAUUAAAUAAUUAUUAAUACAACAAUUUUAAUAAUGAAAUUUAUCACAAGAUAAAUUCUUUAUUGAUAGCUUAAAAUUGUCAAAAAAAUUGACAAUUCGCAAAUGAUUUAUCGAAGUUGAUAGUUACUAAGCUACAUUGUGGCUUGGCAACACUAGAUUAUUGUUAAGAUUUCAAACUUAGUGCAAAAAUUUACAUAAAAUAGGGAUUUACAUAAAAUUGGCUACAAAAUUAAGCAGGAUUUAAAAAACUUGAAUUUUAUUUCGUUUUAUGGGGUUUUAGAACAAGCAAAACUUUUUAUCAAUAAUGACAUUUUUCGCUAAAAUUGAAAAUAAAAAAGUUUUUCCUCUUGGGCACCCCAACCGUGGACACACUGUAUAUAAUUAUAAUACUAAAAUCACAAUAAAGAUGCACUAGAAAGAAACGAACACAAGACAUGAUGAAUGUUAUGAGGAGCACUCACAAAUCAUGAUUUACAAAGUUUAUACAUUGUAAAUCGUGAUUCGGGAGUGCUAUUUGUAUCAUUCAACAUGUCUUGGGUUGUUUAU